GAUGAACGCUGGCGGCGUGCCUAAUACAUGCAAGUCGAGCGAACAGAUGAGGAGCUUGCUCCUCUGACGUUAGCGGCGGACGGGUGAGUAACACGUGGAUAACCUACCUAUAAGACUGGGAUAACUUCGGGAAACCGGAGCUAAUACCGGAUAAUAUAUUGAACCGCAUGGUUCAAUAGUGAAAGACGGUUUUGCUGUCUCUUAUAGAGGGUUCCGCGCCGCAUUAGCUAGUUGGUAAGGUAACGGCUUAUCAAGGCAAGGAUGCGUAGCCGACCGGAGAGGGUGAUCGGCCGCACGGGAACUGAACCACGGUCCAGACUCCUACGUGAGGCAGCAGUAGGGAAUCUUCCGCAAUGGGCGAAAGCCUGACGGAGCAACGCCGCGUGAGUUAUGAAGAUCUUCGGAUCGUAAAACUCUGUUAUUAGGGAAGAACAAAUGUGUAAGUAACUAUACACGUCUUGACGGUACCUAAUCAGAAAGCCACGGCUAACUACGUG
rnacentral:rRNA from 1 species